rnacentral:rRNA from 1 species
GAUGAACGCUGGCGGCGUGCCUAAUACAUGCAAGUCGAGCGAACAGACGAGGAGCUUGCUUCUCUGACGUUAGCGGCGGACGGGUGAGUAACACGUGGAUAACCUACCUAUAAGACUGGGAUAACUUCGGGAAACCGGAGCUAAUACCGGAUAAUAUAUUGAACCGCAUGGUUCAAUAGUGAAAGACGGUUUUGCUGUCACUUAUAGAUGGAUCCGCGCUGCAUUAGCUAGUUGGUAAGGUAACGGCUUACCAAGGCAACGAUGCGUAGCCGACCUGAGAGGGUGAUCGGCCACACUGGAACUGAGACACGGUCCAGACUCCUACGGGAGGCAGCAGUAGGGAAUCUUCCGCAAUGGGCGAAAGCCUGACGGAGCAACGCCGCGUGAGUGAUGAAGGUCUUCGGAUCGUAAAACUCUGUUAUUAGGGAAGAACAAAUGUGUAAGUAACUAUGCACGUCUUGACGGUACCUAAUCAGAAAGCCACGGCUAACUACGUG